AUGAUCAAGAGGCUCAACAAUCCAGAGUCACUAACGGGAGUUGUCUUAAUGGCAUAGGAGGGUGCGGAUUUAAUUGGAAUGAGUUCAGGAUAGAAAGGGAGAAGAGAAAAGGGGACAACACAUACAGACAGCUUUGGGGGUAGAUUCUUCAGUAAGAGGGAAAAGAACGUGAAAGAUAGCUAGGGGUGAAGGCGAGAUCAAUGCCAAGAUACUUUUUCACUCCAGAGGAUAGUAUAGGAUGUUUGUACGCUGGUGGAAAUGGUCCAGCAGAGAGAAAACUUAGUUCUGUGGAGAGGGAGGGGAGAAAUUUCCGGAGCAAUGACUCUGAGAGUAAAGCGAUGGAAUGCAGUGCACAAGGAACGGGUUGGCUUAGGAGGAGACAACUCAUCCAUCAAGACAGGAGCAGCGGCGGACGGCUGCAGAGCCGAGUAGGUUGGCGGAUGUGGGUGGGACCAAGGAGGUUCUUUUCUGGUGGUUUUUAUUUUUGCAGUGGUAGAAAAAGAAUAAAAUAGGAUUUCCAGGCAGCAUAAAAGAUCACCGAUAUAAAGUGAGACUAGCCAACCAUGCUCCAUGUCUUUCUUCAACAGCCUGGAUGCAAGUUUAAAAGAGAGGGGGCUUAAGCAGCUGGAGUUCUGCGUGGGACCUGGCUUCUGCUACCCAGAUGUAUUACAGGAGAAUGGAGAGACAGCAUCUUUCCUGUGGACAAGUCUGUCAUAAGUGGCAGUCACUUGUCAAGAUCAAAGUCUCACCACGCCUAAGAUUUAAAACCGUCCACCCAGGUGGAGGUGAUAAUGUGCCAACCCCAGGCCUGCCCAACACGCAUCACAGUGGAGCGCCAUGGUGACAACACGGGUCUCGUGCAAGCUCGGCCAAGGUCAUGAGCUGCGUUGCUUCUGAUUUCCUCCACCUGCCUGCCAGCGUCUCCUGCCCCAGAUGCAGGAAAUCCUAUCAGCCUCUUGAUUUGAACACACCCUCCAAAACCUGCAAGCUCACCCAUGGCGUCUAUCCCCGCCAGCCUCACCUCCGGAGAGGCAGAGGGGCCCUGGAAAGAAAGGCUGCAGAGAUAUUCUAGUGACCUCAAGUGGGAAAGUUCCUUAAAAAAUACCCCAGGCUGUUGCCUGAGGUGAGGGAGAAGAUUUAAGGAGAGGAACAAGCAAAUGCACACUGAAGGGACUGCAUCUGGAUGAUAUAUUCUGUUAAGACAACAGUAAGGUUGUUCACGUACAUUUUGAGAAAUGCAGACUUACAUUAAGCUUCCUUGGAGGAGGUGCUGUAUUAAAAUGCUUAAACAUUUUUCACUUUAUGGUUCAAAUAACCCAAAGCACAGAAGAAUGGACACAUCUAUCUUUCUAUCAACAUCUACAUUGAUUGAAAAAGGAGACUCUGAGUUCAACUGAGCAGACUUCAGUUGGCUUUAUCUGAGCUUCAAUAGCUGGAAGAAUGGGAGAACAAUCCAGAUGAAGAGGACUGAUCUGGAAUCCAUCAUUUAUGUACGUGCAGUCAUCAGGUGUCCACUGACCAGAGCAGACGGGGCAGACAGCAAUUCACAAGGCAGGGAGAAUGAAACGUGCCUGAGAUGGGGGAAGGAAUGCUGGCAUCUUUAGGGUUUGGGGCGAGAGAGAACUGCAUUGUAAUCUGCAUUACUGAGGGGAUUCCCGGGUGAAGAGCUCCAAAGACAGGCGAUAUUUCGGUUGCCUUGCUGAUUUUGAACUAUUUGUCCCUUGAAGGGCUCUAACCUACGCUUGUGUAGCUGUGCACGGGGCAGUCUUGCACCACCUGAGGCGGUAGCUAUAUACAUGGACAGUUUUCAUUUUUCCGUGAAGCCCAUGUAGAAGAGGCAGUGGGCACAGUCACUGUAAUCAGUGACGCUGUUUUACCUAAGUUUUUUCAUAGCACGGAUGUUGACGUAUUACAAAGCUCUCAGCACAGAAUAAGCAGAUGAAAGCGCCUUUCCCCUUUCUCAGUGGGAAGGAGAAUUAAUUUUAGGCUUUAGCACCUAAAAUCAAAUAGCUGGAACAGUGUUUAAUGGACUGAAACCCUGAACUCUUAACUGCUGCACCUCUACGAUGUUUUGAGAUGGUUCCACUAAAGUUUAUUUUUUGCAUUUCUUACUGCUGUACCUUAAUGACCACUUGUACAUGAGCUAAAACUAGUGAAUGCCCUGAACUAAACAGCUUUGAAGCCUCGGAGUUGUGUAUUGUUUGUGCUAAGUUUUUAUACUCCCUAGCAUGGGAGGUGGACUGAAAGGAGACACAAUAAACAUUCUAGAAAGGGAGCAACUGGCAGGCUGGGAGAUGGAAUUAGACGGUAGUAAGAAUUAGAUGACUUCCUACUCGCUACAUUCAGUGAGUUCUAAGAAAACUCUCCCAUCAAAACCUGGCGAAACAUUCCACCCUGUAUAGUUUUCAGCAAAUCACUUUUGGAUUCAACUAAAGGACUGAUUUCUGCAGAUUCCUGCCAUGAUGCCUUUUAUCCUGAUCACCCUUUGUGAAAAUUAAAAAGUAAUGUUUUAGUCACUCCCUGAACUCAGAUAACCCUUCUUGAGUUAUCUCUCCAUCCAAUCAGUGCCUGAUGUCUCUGCUGACUUCCCUGUAAUAGCUGAGUUGUUUACAUUUUCUCAGGGCAUAUUUUACAGAGAAUUUAUCUGUUUAGCAGUGAGAACAAUAAGGGAUAGAAGAAUGGAUAAGCUGGUAAGAACUACAAUUUUGUAUUUGACCCCACUGUCCAUAUCAUCCUUCCUGUCCAUACCA